rnacentral:rRNA from 1 species
AUGGACCUGGUACCACAGCCCGACAGCCCGCACUCGGACGGCAGCGGCGGCGCGACGUCGGGGGCUUCGUCGGCGGUGUCGUCGCUGUCGCCAGGUGGCGCGGUCUCGCCGUCGCCAAGCAGGUACGAGUCGCAGAAGCGGCGGGACUGGAACACGUUCGGGCAGUACCUCCGGAACCACCGCCCCCCGCUGUCGCUGGCGCGGUGCAGCGGCGCGCACGUGCUGGAGUUCCUGCGCUACCUCGACCAGUUCGGCAAGACCAAGGUGCACGCUGCCGGGUGCCCAUUCUUCGGCCACCCUGUGCCGCCGGCGCCAUGCCCGUGUCCGCUCCGGCAGGCGUGGGGCAGCCUCGACGCACUCGUCGGCCGCCUCCGUGCUGCCUAUGAGGAGAACGGCGGACGACCGGAGAACAACCCCUUCGGCGCCAGGGCCGUGCGGCUCUACCUCCGCGAGGUCCGGGAGCACCAGUCACGCGCACGCGGAGUUAGCUACGACAAGAAGAAGCGCAGGAAGCCGCCCCACCCCCCCGGCUCUGCCGACAUCCCCUCCCACGAAGGCAACAGCAACGGCCACCACCAGUACCACCAGAUGCCCCCGCCGCCUCCUGGCGCCGCGGCGUGA